rnacentral:misc_RNA from 1 species
GAUGAAGAACGUAGCGAAAUGCGAUACGUAAUGUGAAUUGCAAAUUCAGUGAAUCAUCGAGUCUUUGAACGCACAUUGCGCCCCCUGGUAUUCCGGGGGGCAUGCCUGUCCGAGCGUCAUUGCUGCCCUCAAGCACGGCUUGUGUGUUGGGCCCCGUCCUCCGAUCCCGGGGGACGGGCCCGAAAGGCAGCGGCGGCACCGCGUCCGGUCCUCGAGCGUAUGGGGCUUUGUCACCCGCUCUGUAGGCCCGGCCGGCGCUUGCCGAUCAACCCAAAUUUUUUAUCCAGGUUGACCUCGGAUCAGGUAGGGAUACCCGCUGAACUUAAGCAUAUCAAUAAGCGGAGG